rnacentral:rRNA from 1 species
AGAGUUUGAUCAUGGCUCAGGAUGAACGCUGGCGGCGUGCCUAAUACAUGCAAGUCGAACGCGCAGCGAGAGGUGCUUGCACCUUUCAAGCGAGUGGCGAACGGGUGAGUAACACGUGGAUAACCUGCCUCAAGGCUGGGGAUAACAUUUGGAAACAGAUGCUAAUACCGAAUAAAACUUAGUAUCGCAUGAUAUCAAGUUAAAAGGCGCUACGGCGUCACCUAGAGAUGGAUCCGCGGUGCAUUAGUUAGUUGGUGGGGUAAAGGCUUACCAAGACGAUGAUGCAUAGCCGAGUUGAGAGACUGAUCGGCCACAUUGGGACUGAGACACGGCCCAAACUCCUACGGGAGGCAGCA